CCUAGUACCUACGGGAGGCACAAGUGGGAAAUCCCCAGCAAUUGACGAAGCCUGACGAAACACGCGUGAGAAGAAGCUUUGGUGUAACUGUUCUACAGAGAUAAUGACGUACUGAUGAUCAGCAUCGCUAACUCGUGCAGCAGCGCGUAUACGGAGGAUGCAAGCGUAUCUGGAAUAAUCGGGCGUAAAGCGUCGUAGGUGGUGAUGUAAGUCUGCUGUAAAGCGUGUAGCUUAACUACAUAUAGGCGGUGGAAACUACAUGAACUAGAGUGCGUUCGGGGCAGAGGGGAAUUCCUGGUGUAGCGGGUGAAAUGCGUAGGAUAUCAGGAAGAACACCGGUGGGCGAAGGCGCUCUGCUAGGCCGUAACUGACACUGAGGGACGAAAGCUAGGGGAGCGAAAGGGAUUAGAUACCCCUGUAGUCCUAGCCGUAAACGAUGGAUACUAGGUGUUGCGCGUAUCGACCCGUGCAGUACCGUAGCUAACGCGUUAAGUAUCCCGCCUGGGGAGUACGCACGCAAGUGUGAAACUCAAAGGAAUUGACGAGGGCCCGCACAAGCGGUGGAGUAUGUGGUUUAAUUCGAUGCAACGCGAAGAACCUUACCAAGGCUUGACAUCCUACGAAUCUCUUGGAAACGAGAGAGUGCCUACGGGAGCGUAGAGACAGGUGGUGCAUGGCUGUCGUCAGCUCGUGUCGUGAGAUGUUGGGUUAAGUCCCGCAACGAGCGCAACCCUCGUUUUUAGUUGCCAGCAUUGAGUUGGGCACUCUAAAGAGACUGCCGGGGACAACUCGGAGGAAGGUGGGGACGACGUCAAGUCAUCAUGCCCCUUACGUCUUGGGCUACACACGUACUACAAUGCUACGGACAGAGGGCAGCGAGCAUGCGAAUGCAAGCAAAUCCCAUAAACCGUGGCUCAGUUCAGAUUGCAGGCUGCAACUCGCCUGCAUGAAGGCGGAAUCGCUAGUAAUCGCAGGUCAGCAUACUGCGGUGAAUUCGUUC
rnacentral:rRNA from 1 species